rnacentral:rRNA from 1 species
UUGGAGGGCAAGUCUGGUGCCAGCAGCCGCGGUAAUUCCAGCUCCAAUAGCGUAUAUUAAAGUUGUUGCAGUUAAAAAGCUCGUAGUUGAAACUUGGGCCUGGCUGACUGGUCCGCCUCACCGCGUGUACUGGUUCGGCCGGGCCUUUCCUUCUGGAGAGCCUCAUGCCCUUCACUGGGUGUGUUGGGGAACCAGGACUUUUACUUUGAAAAAAUUAGAGUGUUCAAAGCAGGCCUUUGCUCGAAUACGUUAGCAUGGAAUAAUAGAAUAGGACGUGCGAUCCUAUUUUGUUGGUUUCUAGGACCGCCGUAAUGAUUAAUAGGGAUAGUCGGGGGCAUCAGUAUUCAAUUGUCAGAGGUGAAAUUCUUGGAUUUAUUGAAGACUAACUACUGCGAAAGCAUUUGCCAAGGAUGUUUUCAUUAAUCAGUGAACGAAAGUUAGGGGAUCGAAGACGAUCAGAUACCGUCGUAGUCUUAACCGUAAACUAUGCCGACUAGGGAUCGGGCGAUGUUAUUAUUUUGACUCGUUCGGCGCCUUACGGGAAAC